GUGGGGAAUAUUGGACAAUGGGCGCAAGCCUGAUCCAGCAAUGCCGCGUGGGUGAAGAAGGUCUUCGGAUCGUAAAGCCCUUUCGACAGGGACGAUGAUGACGGUACCUGUAGAAGAAGCCCCGGCUAACUUCGUGCCAGCAGCCGCGGUAAUACGAAGGGCGCUAGCGUUACUCGGAAUUACUGGGCGUAAAGGGCGCGUAGGCGGCUCUGUUAGUCAGGCGUGAAAUUCCUGGGCUUAACCUGGGGACUGCGCUUGAUACUGCAGGGCUUGAGGCCGAGAGAGGGUGGUGGAAUUCCCAGUGUAGAGGUGAAAUUCGUAGAUAUUGGGAAGAACACCGGUGGCGAAGGCGACCACCUGGCUCGGUUCUGACGCUGAGGCGCGACAGCGUGGGGAGCAAACAGGAUUAGAAACCCCGGUAGUCC
rnacentral:rRNA from 1 species